rnacentral:rRNA from 1 species
GACGUAGGGCGCGAGCGUUGUCCGGAUUUAUUGGGCGUAAAGAGCUCGUAGGCGGCUUGUCGCGUCGACCGUGAAAACUUGGGGCUCAACCCCAAGCCUGCGGUCGAUACGGGCAGGCUCGAGUUCGGUAGGGGAGACUGGAAUUCCUGGUGUAGCGGUGAAAUGCGCAGAUAUCAGGAGGAGCACCGAUGGCGAAGGCAGGUCUCUGGGCAUUAACUGACGCUGAGGAGCGAAAGCAUGGGGAGCGAACAGG